rfam:Triticum aestivum genome assembly, contig: Triticum_aestivum_CS42_TGACv1_scaffold_578233_7BL
UCAGUACUUCCUCCGUCCGGAAAUACUCGUCAUUAAAAUGUAAGAAAGUGGAUGUAUCUAGACGUAUUUUAGUUCUAGAUACAUCUUUUUUUUAUCCAUUUUAAUGGCAAGUAUUUUUGGACGGAGGGAGUACCUG